GGAUAUGAGGGUGAUCUGGCUGCGACAUCUGUCACCCCAUUGAUCGCCAGGGUUGAUUCAGCAGAUCUGGCUGGCUAGGCAGGUGUCCCGUUCCUCCCUCGCUGCUCCAUGUGCGUCCCUCCCAAAGCUGUGCGCUCAGUGGAAGAGGACGACCAUCCCACAUAGAAGGAGUGUACCGAUCUUCAGUCAAGGUGCCUCAGAAAUACGUUGUUUAGCUUUUGAUUCUUAAAGAAAUUAAAAGCAUAAAUGAUAAUAUCAAUUAAAUUCAAAGCUCUACAUACUUAACAAUAUUUCAAAGAAAUAAAAACAAAUAG
rnacentral:snRNA from 1 species